UACGGAGGGUGCAAGCGUUACUCGGAAUUACUGGGCGUAAAGCGCGCGUAGGCGGCUAGAUAAGUCGGAUGUGAAAGCCCCAAGCUCAACCUGAGAACUGCAUACGAUACUGUCUGGCUAGAGUAUGAGAGAGGGAGGUAGAAUUCCACGUGUAGCGGUGAAAUGCGUAGAUAUGUGGAGGAAUACCGGUGGCGAAGGCGGCCUCCUGGCUUAAUACUGACGCUGAGGUGCGAAAGCGUGGGGAGCAAACAGG
rnacentral:rRNA from 1 species